UUUUGACCUCGGAUCAGGUAGGGAUACCCGCUGAACUUAAGCAUAUCAAUAA
rnacentral:rRNA from 5 species